rnacentral:rRNA from 1 species
UACAGGGGGGGCAAGUAUUAUUCUACAUGACUGGGCGUAAAGGAUAUGUAGGCGGUUUUCUAAAUGUUAAAAAAAAUCCUAUAAAAAAUUUAUAGGCUGUUUUAAUAUAUUAAAAAACUUUGAGUUUAUAGAAGAUAUUAGAAUCCGUUAAGAGUAAAUGUGAAAUGUUCAGAGACUUGGGGGAAUUCCAAAUGGCGAAAGCAUUUAUCUUGUUAAAACUGACGCUGAAAUAAGAAGGUAUGGGGAUCAAAUAGG